AUUAGAGAAAGUACUCCACUGGGAAAAAUUGGGUAUAUAUUCAAACCAAGAUCUAGUACUCUUACUAGCUUGAAAGACAAUUCCAGUGUGAAGCAUUUCAAUCCACCCAACAUGAUAAUAGAAUGAGCCUCACUGUUACGACACCAAGCCAAUUCUUCCUUCUUAUAGAUACUGAUCCGACUUCGACUCUUAAAGGAACACUGCAUGGAUUGUGCACAUGAAUUUUGAUCACUCUUUCCUCUGAUAACAUUCACAAAAUUCAUGUUUCGAGCUUCCCUCAAACAGAGUUCACGGAUCACAUCAUGCAUUCCACAUCUCUCUAUUUCCCCAUCAAAACUCAAAUUGUGGAUAGAAAUUAGACUUCUAUCUACAAGUUCGUUUAUACAUGUUUCUGCCACCUCUUCUAUGCUUUUUCCUUCUUCUUCAUUCAAAAACCCCUCUACGGCCCAUAACUCAACAAGUGCAUUUACAUAAAUCCGUUCAUCCUCUGCGAAAAUUGCAAAAUACAGAAAACACGGUUUUAGGUGAGAAGGCAAGUGAUGGUAACUCAAAGCCAACACUCUCAUGCAUUUUGCUUCAAGAUCUCUGCUUACCACCGAACUUACAUUCUCCGCAACAUUUUGCCACUCAUCCAAUGUUUUACUGAUUUUGGAGAGAAGUCCAGCAAUCAAAGUAAUUUCUAGAGGUAACCCUCCACAUUUUAAUGCAAUUUGUUUCCCAAUAUUUUCAAAUUCAGGAGAAUAAGAACCUUCUUUUUCAAAGAUCUUUUUGUGUAGUAAAUUCCAACUUUCGUCAAAAUUCAUGAGGCGCAUNNNNNNNNNNNNNNNNNNNNNNNNNNNNNNNNNNNNNNNNNNNNNNNNNNNNNNNNNNNNNNNNNNNNNNNNNNNNNNNNNNNNNNNNNNNNNNNNNNNNNNNNNNNNNNNNNNNNNNNNNNNNNNNNNNNNNNNNNNNNNNNNNNNNNNNNNNNNNNNNNNNNNNNNNNNNNNNNNNNNNNNNNNNNNNNNNNNNNNNNNNNNNNNNNNNNNNNNNNNNNNNNNNNNNNNNNNNNNNNNNNNNNNNNNNNNNNNNNNNNNNNNNNNNNNNNNNNNNNNNNNNNNNNNNNNNNNNNNNNNNNNNNNNNNNNNNNNNNNNNNNNNNNCAUGUUCAGGUAAACUGACAAGUGAGCUAGUUUGUGGUUUUAGAUCUUUCAUGCUGUCCGAUGCUGCCAUCCACUGUUUCACGGUGGAAUCAAUGUAUUCUAGUGCUUGUUCCAAGACGAAAAAAAUCUCCCACAUAGCCCUGCUUCUUUCCUCCAAAUUCUGUGCUAAAAAAACAUUUCUUGAUUCCGAGUCAACCAUAUCUUCUGUUGUGUAUGCUACCUCUGCGAUUUCAACUUCCAAGAUUGUUAACCCCUCAUGAUCGCCCAUUAUAUUGCAGGAUUUCUCCAGAAUAGCUCUCAAAGAUUUGAGCUUUUCAUAAAACGGUUGCAAAUCACAUCCAGUAAGUUCCAUUGAUUGAUGUAUGGUUCUCAUAAGGGAAGUAACAGCAGCAUAAGCCAUAUAUCCAAAAAAUAGAAAUAUCUCUCAGUAUGAAAAUGGACAAAUUGCCACAAGUUAUGUAAUUUUUCAGUUUUUAAGAAAACAGAAAAUGCAAAGUUCUUUCUUUUACUAGCUAUUUCCAUCACAUUUCCAGCUAGGUCCACCAACCUUAUCAUCAUGUAGACAAAAGCAGAGACCAAAGUUAAAAAAAAGUAGAAAAAUUUGUGAUCAUUCAUUAUUAGACCGUACACAUAUCUAUUCAUGAAUAUAAGUAUGCUUCUUACAUACAAGAGAUUGAUGAUUUUAAUUACAUUGAAAGCAACUUAGUAGAAUUUUCCAAAUCAAAGAGAGAAAUAUUAAGAUCCAAGUAGGAAUUUCUCUAUUCCUAGUUCGAUUCAAUUAACCAAGCAUAAAUAUCUCUUAAUAUACAUGAGAAGUUUAGACUCUAAAAGUCAAAUCAACAAAAUAUUUAUGGGCUAACACAUGAAAAACUAUUGAGAAAAUCGCCUAAUUUCUGUAAAUUGGCCCUUAAAUCUCCAAAAUGAACUCUAAAAAUUGUCAGACUGUACGUAUUGCUCCCCAACUCCCUACUGAGGGUUCUGUAAAGAUUUCGAUUAGAAUUCGUCCGUAAGUCAUAUCACCAAUAUAUUAAUGACUAACACACACGAAAAACUGAGAAAAUUGUCUAAUUUCUUGAAAUUGGCCCCUAAAUGCCUAAAAUGGACUCUAAAAGUUGUGAGACUGUACGUACUGCUCCCCCGACUCCCUACAGAGGGUUUCGUAAAUGUGUAGCAAAGAAAUCGUCUGGAAGUCAUAUCACUAUAAUAUUAAUGGGCUAACACACACAAACCACUGAGAAAGUCGCGUAUUCCUGUAAAUUGGCCCCUAAAUGCCCAAAAUGAACUCUAAAAUUGUGAGACUAUGUACUGCUCCACUAACUCCCUAUGGAGGGUUCCGUAAAGAUUUCACAAAGAAAUUAUUCGGAAGACAUAUCACCAAAAUAUUUAUGGGCUAAUACAUUUUUAUUUGUCCAUUUGAUUUGACAUAUCUUUCAAGUACUUUGAUCUGGUUAUACUUUUUUUUUAUUGCUAAAAAUAAAUAUCCACUUUUACUUGUUCAUUCUACAAAACAAAGACAAUAUUUUAUUGCUUGAUUCAGAUAUAAAAUUUGAGUAGGCUAAUUUACAAACCAUCUGUAGUCAUCCUGCCCCUAUGCUAUAACAUUUGAAAGAAAGAGGUCAUCAUCAUCAUAUUCAUCAUCGUUGUCAUCUUCAUCAUCAUCUUCAUCAUCGUUGUCAUCUUCAUCAUCAUCUUCAUCUUCUUCAUCAUUAUCAUCAUCAUCAUCAUGAUCGUCAUCGUCACUUGUUUCCUCACUGUUGAAAAAGCCAGCAACAAAAGAUGAAAAAUGAAAUGUUAUGCAAGUAUAACAAGUUACACAAUUACUAUAUUGGAAGGAUUUAAAUCAUAUACAAUGACAACGUAUGAACUUUUACACUAUAGGUGCCAUUUAACUGCUUAUUAAAGCAAUUUAUAAUUAUUUUAUUACUAGUUCUGGACACGUGCUUUGCAUGUGUAUAUUACACGUUUAGUCACGAUUGUAAGAGGGUGUACACCAGGAUCAUUCGAAGAGCAAAGUCGUGUGAGCCUUACAGAUAUUCUUGACGUACUCCUAUUAAAAUCUGUAUCAUAUUCGUAACUUUUUGAAUGAGGUUCACCUUUUUCCUCAUUGUACUUUGUACAUGGAUGUUGUCCAUCACAAUAUCCCCUUUUUCAAAUUUCAUAGCUGAACUACUAGGUGUACGAGUUCCUACCAGAACUACUACCAACUAUUUAUCAAAACACACAUCAACUAUAUAUGAGUUGUUCCCUUUUACUAGUGGUGACAAAUAGGUGGAUUUGGACGGGACUGAAAAUGGAUUGAGCAACAUGGUCGUAACUCACUUAAUCUCUUAAAGCCAGAAAACUUUAAAGAGUUAAUUGAAAUAAACUUAAUGACUAUCCUACUUGAAGUAUCACCGUCGUUCAGGUAAGAAAAAGGAAGUAUAUCAAGGAAGAAGAUGUCUUACAAAGCCUGAUGGAUAUGGACCUCGAUAGAACCUCCAUAGUUGUCUUGAAUGUCCUGUUGAAUCUGCUUUGCGGAAUUCCCAACAGAUUCUGGGCAGUUUCUUAUAUAGAUUAGAGCAAGUGUGGUUAUAUCUGCAAAAUCUUGAGGGAUUGAGUCCAAAAACCUGCAACUAUCAAGAAAUAGUCGUUCAAGGCACGGAAAGUGAUCACAACUAGCUCUCCAGUACUGAAUAUGUGAUCUUUUAAGUAACAAGAACUUCAAAAAAGGAAACCCUUCCUCAGCUACUUCCCACUCCCUGCCUCUGCAUACACCCUGUGUUAGUUCAAGAAGUUCAAGUUUGGGCAAUUUUCCGACAACAAUGCUUAAAUCCUUCCAUGACAAGAAGAAAUUUCCUGUAAAAGUUAAAUUCUUAAGGUUUCGUGGAAAAGCAUCUGGAGGAGGUAAGAUCAAAGAUGGAACAACUUCUACAACAAGUGGAUUCCUUGUCUGAAAACACAUUCUCCUCUCCAAAAAGUAAGCAUUAUUUUGAGGAGGAAGACAAAAUGCUAGUUCCUCGAGAUGAUCUAAGUAGCGAAAAUCAUAGAGGUCUUUGUGACUAUGGAAGUCUUGUGGGAUGCCACGUACUUGCAACUCCUUUAAAUUGGGAAAUAGUCUAAAGAAAGAUGCAGUACAAUAGCUAGGAUUCCAUCCAAACAGAGAAUGUAAAUUUUUCAUAACCAAACUUUUCUCUGUAAGCUCAUGAUAUCGCAAGUAAUUCCGAUCCAAAUGAAGGUGCCUCAACUGUGGCAUUGUCAAAAUAUCUGAUGGUAAUAUCAAAGCAUGUUUACGAAGAUUAAUGACGAGUGGAAGGUAAAGUACCAAACUUUGCAGAUAGCAUAGGUUUGAUAUGGAUGUAGGAAUGUCUACUCUUGAUGAGAGAACAUCUUCUUCGGAUCCUAGAUAUUGCUCAACGUUAGGAUAAAUACGCAAAGCUAGGUGUCUUAAGUGAAUCAAAUAAAGUAUUUCACGGGGAAAAGUUAGACAGAUAUUAUCAGCAAGAUCUAGAACUCUUACUAGCUUGAACGGCAAGUACUCCCUCAUGCAACAUCGGAAUCUACCAAAUAAGAUAACAGAAUGAGCUUCACUGUUAAGGCACCUAACAUACUCUUUCUUAUUAUGGAUGCUGAUUCGACUUCGACUCUUAGACAAACACUGCAUGGAUUUCACAUAUGAAUUUUGAUCAUUCUUUCUUCUGAGAACAUUCACAAAAUUCAUGUUACGAGCUUCCAUCAAACAGAGUUCACGAGUCAUAUCAUGAAUUCCACAACACUUAAUUUUUCCAUCAAAAGUAGUACUUUUAAUGGAAAUUAAACUUCUAUCAAUAAGAUCUUGUAGGUACUUUUCUGCCACUUCUUCUAUGCUUUUCAUCUCUUCUACCUUCAAAAAUCCCUCUGUUUCCCACAAUAUCAUAAGUUUAUUGACAAAAAUCAGUUUAUCCUCUGGGAAGAUUGCGAAAUAUAAAAAGCAUGGUUUUAGGUGGUGAGGCAAGUAAUGGUAACUCAUUGCCAACACCCUCAUGCAUUGGACACCAACAUCUGUGCUUACUGCUGAACUUACAUUUUCAGCAACACUUUGCCACUCACUCAAUGCUUUGUCAAUUUUAGUGAGAAGUCCCGCGAUCACAACAAUUGCUAGAGGCAAUCCUCCGCAUUUCAAUGCAAUUUGCUUUCCAAGUUGUUCAUAUUCAGGGGAGAAAGAGUCUUUCGUAAAGACUUUUUCAUAUAAUAAAUUCCAACUUUCGUCAAAAUUCAUGAGGCGCAUGUGAUGAGGAAGCUUACCUGAGCUAGCAUAUUCAGCCACUUCCACAUUCCGAGUAGUCAAGAGUAUUCGGCUUCCAUUAUGAAAGUCUGGGAAACAUAUUUGUAUAUCAUCCCAAGCUUUUGUAGUCCAUAUGUCAUCAAUGACUACCAAAUAUCUCUUGCCUUUUAGAAGCUUUUGCAGUCGAUCUGCUAGUUGCCCGUCAUGUAGCUGAUCAUAAGGUUUAUCACUUAUACAAGAAAGAAGGUCUAGGAAAACAUUUCUCACACAAUACUCUUGUGAAACAGUAGCUUUUGCACGUAUGUCAAAGCGAUACAUCAUGCAUGGAUCGUUGUAGAGUUUUGUUGCCAAAGUUGUCUUGCCAAUGCCUCCCAUACCUACAAUUGAUACAACUUCUAGUUCUCUUUCUCCUCUAGCAAGUUGAUCCAGCAUCAUCUUGAAUUCAUUUUCAUAGCCAACCAUUAUAACCUCGGACCGCUCAACAGCAAGUUCAGGUAUCUUGGAUAGACAGAAAUUUUGUGCUUUGAAAUCUUUAAUGUUGUUGUACCAGUCCCAUAUUGCCAACCACUGCAUCAUGAAGGAAUCAAUACAUUCUACCUCUUGUUCCAAGGAACAACAGAGUUCCCAGAAAGCUUUGCUUCGUGUAAUUACAGUUUCUGCAGAAGAAACUUUUCUUGAUUUCGAAUCAACCAUGUCUUCUGCUUUGAAUGCUACCUCCGUGAUUUCAACUUCCAAGGUUGUUAACCCCUCAUGAUCGCCCGUUAUAUUGCAGGAUUUCUCUAGAAUAGCUCUCAAAGAUUCGAGCUUUUCAUAAAACGGUUGCAAAUCACAUCCAUUAAGUUCCAUUGAUUGGUGUAUGGUUCUCAUAAGGGAAGUAACAGCAGCAUAAGCCAUAUAUCCAAAAAAUAGGAAUCUCUCACUCUCAGUAUGAAAAUGGACAAAUUAAUUGCCACAAGUUAUGUAAUCUUUCUUUUACUAACUAUUUCCAUCACAUUUCUAGCUAGGUCCACUAACAGGAUAAAGUAGAAAGAUGUGAGGUCACUAACCUUAUCAUCAUGAAGACAAAAGAAGAGACCAAAGUUAAAAAAAAAAAAAGACGAAAAAGUAGAAAAAAUUGUGAUCAUUCAUUAUUAGACCCUACACUAAUCUCUUCAGAAAAAUAAAAUAAAAUUUUAGUUUAAAUAAAGGAAUUCAAGCUGUAUAUUGAUAACGUCCAAUUCAAAUUCAAGUGUAGUACGGUCUAGCAAUAAUAAACUCAACAAAAGUUGGAGUCGAGGAGUACGCUUGUGUCAAGGUGACAGAGAGUGUGCGAAUUUGCUAACAAACAAAAGGUCUUUCUUUUAGCUAGGUCCAUAAUCCAUGUAGUGCUCUAUACUCUCUAGUCUCUAUCAACCAGCUCAAGUUUAAGGGUGUGUUUGGUAUGGAGGAAACAUUUUCUCUAGAAUAGGGAGAGAUUUGUGCAUAAACAAGGAAGAAUCUCUCAGUAUAACAGUGAAUGGGUAUUUUUUUAAGAUUUGCUUCUUUUGUGUAUGACUUUUGUAAGAAACAUUCUGGUAAAAGUUAAAAAAAAUGAUCUUGUGGAAUAGCCACAGUGAAUUCCUUAAUAUUCGAGUAGAAAAAGCCAGAGAGGAUAACAUUGCUAUUUGUACACUUAUCGUGACACGAGUAGUCUCUUAAAUAUUACACCUUUCUACUGAUGUUGCUGAUGCCACUGGAUUUAGCCUUCCGUCUUCCUUUGCAAGGUAGAUCGAGGACUCCCAAGAAAGGAAACACAAGUUACUGGAGUCUGUUCUGGCCUAUACAGUAUGUAUGUACAUAAAAUUUGGAGUAUCUAAAAACCACUGACAAAUGGCUAUACGAAAGAUCAUAUACAAUUAAAUUACAAGCCAUUUGCAAUCAUCCUGCCCCUUUAUGCAGAAUCUUUUCAAAGAAAAUGAAAACGAACAAAACAAACACUCACACAUUUGGCUUCUGAUUUGACAUUUAUUUCAGAGAACUGGCUAGUCGCUGCAGGAAAAAAAAAGACGCAAAAAAUGGAAAAUAAUAUGUUAGAUGUCCCAUAAUUAAGGAACAAGAGAACAUUAUAGCAAGAAUGAGCAUGCAGGUAUAAGAACUUACACAUUAUUGCGGCAAGAAGCAACUUCUUUCUCAAAGUCAUCAUCAUCAUCUUCAUCUGUUGUUACACUAUCGAAAAUGCUAGCUACAAAAGAUGAAAAAUGAAAUGUUACACUUCCCAAAAUCAAGAAUGAGCAUGCAAGUAUAACAAGUUACACAAUAUUGGAAGGAUUCGAAUCAAUCACAAUGACAGCAUCAAGAACUUUUGUUGAAUUGGUGUAAUUUGACUUACUAAAGCUAUUAUCCAGAUUAUUAUCGAGUUUACUAUAAUGAUGAGUUAAAUAUUGUUGUAAAUCAAGGAAGAAGAUGUCUUACUAAAGAUUACGAGUAUGGACCUCGAUAGAGCUUCCAUAGUUGUCUUGAAUGUCCUGUUGAAUUUGCUUGGCGGAAUUCCCAACAGAUUGUUGACAGUAAUGUAUAUCAAUAAGAGCUAGUGUGGUUAUAUCUGCAAAAUCUCGAGGGAUUGAAUCCAAAUACUCGCAAUUUCUAAGAAAAAGUCGUUCAAGGUACGGAAAGUGAUCACUACUAGCUCUCCAGUACCGAAUGUAUAUUUGAUCCAGAAACAAGAACUUCAAGUGAGGAAACCCUUCCUCAACUACUUCCCACUCCUCGCCUAUGACGGCAUUGUGUGAUAGUUUAAGGACCUCGAGUUUGGGUAAUUUACCAACAAUGCUCAAAUCCUUCCAUGCCAAAAGGAAAUCUCCUCUAAAAGUUAAACUCUGGAAAAGAUUAAUUAACAAAAAUUUAUGGUACUAAUUGGGGUAUUAAUUAACAUAUCCUUACUUGAUCACAUAUGUAUUGUUCUGUGUGAAAUUUUCCUCUGACUGAUAGUUGACUAAAUUAUAUUGCAUACGUUCGUGUACAUUUUCUCACUUGGAAGAGUGGAUUUGGACGUAAUUAACUAUCACCAUCGUUUAGGUAGAAAAAAGAAAAUAACUAAUAGUUGAAUGUUUUAAUACAUAGAUGAUCAACUAAUAUGAGAAGAAAAGAGUAGCGUAAAUGUGAGAUUCACUUCUCACCAAGAAUCCUCCUUUCUUAUUAUUUUCCUUUUAGAGGUUAAUAAUUAUUAAGUAUCCCUAGAAUAAUUUAUUGAAAAAGUAGAUUUGAAAGAAAGCAAUUACUCUCUUCUUCCUAUGCGGGACUUCUUGAACAUAACUAAUUUGACAAAAACCACAAUUUUAUUUAUUUUUAGGUGGAAUUAUAUCAAUAAGGAACUAUAUAUGCUUAUGAUAUUAAUCUAAGACCAUUAUUUGUUACUUGAACACAUGGAUUCAUCAUCUGAACAAUUGAAACAAUUAAUACUUGUGUGAACCUUUUUUUAUUUCGAGUGAUGUGUCAUAAUCAUUAGCCAACUAAGACUAGCGUUAAAUUUUUGGUAAGUCUCAAGAAGUGUAAUUAAUACUUAAUAAAAUAAUCUCAUCCUUGAGAUUCAAGAACUUGUUUGGAUUGAAUAGGUUUUUAUCAUCAAGAUCUAGAACAAAGUCUUAAUAUUAGUAAGAGGUAUUUUUGUGUGAAAAGUUUUCUUUGAGGUUCGAGAAAUGGAAUAGAUAUGGACUACAAGUUGAUAUUUCCCAUUGGAAAAUUCACACAAAAAGGAACAAGGAAUUCUCAAUGAAAAAAGCGCUCUCCAAAUCUGUUUAGUAUUUGUCAUGAGGUUCUUAUCAUAAUUGGAUUUUCCUUUUAGGAAAAGGUAAACACAGUCUCCAUAUUUGUCUAGUUCUUUUUCUUGUAGGAAAAAAAUUAUGACUCUAUAAAUAGAUGUUUUGUAACAUCCGACAAUUUGAAAUAGCUAAGAAGAGGCUUGAAAUUUGGAAAUUUUCAAUUUUUGGAAAGGAUUUGAAAAUCUGGAAAAUUUGGCUAAGUAUGGGAAAGGUGAGUUUUUUUGGGCCCAAACUUUGAACAACCAUAAAUUCUAGCUCAGGAUGAGUUAGGUGGAGUUCCGGUUAUGUUUGCAUAGCCCUCGGAACGACCUUUCCAACGCCACUGAGUUUGCUCAAUUCUGAGUUCGUAUGAGCGAGUUAUGGCCAUUGAAAGUUGGGCAGUUGGCAGGGAAUCCGUCCGGAAAAUUAAGGGCAUUUUAGUCUUUUCCCUAGCCAAUUCUUUUGGGAUUAUAUUGUUGUAUAGGGCUGAUCUUUAGAUCAUUUUGUCCCAUUUUAAGAAAUUAAAAUCUAGGGCUUGAGAGUGAAGAAGAGAAGAAGGAGAAGAAGAAGAGAAAAAUCGAGGAGAUCAACAAGUUUCCGACAAGAUCAUCGUGAAUGUUCGUCGGGGGUGAUCCCUAUCAAGGUAUGUGAGCUUUUAGUGUUGGGUGAUACUUUCCCCCACACACCUAGCCCCUUUUAUUUAUUAAGGAAGGAUUGGUUAUGUUGUUAAAGUUGUUAGUUGUUGUGGUUGAAGUUGUUGGAGUUGUUAAAGUUGUUAGUUGUUGUUGUUGGAAUUAUUGUUGGUGGUGGGACAUAAUUGAGUUGUGUUUUUAUGUUGAAAUCUAUUGAAUGUUGAGGGAUUUUAUGUUUCUAAGUGAUUGGGGGCUGGAAUCUUUGAGGUUAGAGGGUUUAGAGUUGGUAACGUGAAGGAGAAAGUCGGGUAGCUUGCGAGGAGCAUGUCUGCGUCGCGGACUUGUUCCUCUGUGAACAAAAAAUCUUCUCCGCGUCGCGGACAGGACGCAGACUCCACUGUUUUCAGAAUUUAUGUUCGAAGAUUUUCUUAGGUUUGGCUGUCCCAAAUCAUUCGCAAAUCAUUCCUAAACAUCAUGAGACCCUUCCAAACACCAAUCAAGUCCUUGAAUCCAUAAUCCAAUUCAAGGUGAGUUAUGAUCAAGUCAAGUGAAGUUAGUUUUCAAGUCAAGUGAAGUUAGAAGUCAAGUGAAGUUAGAGCCAAGCUUAGAAGUUAAGCAAGUCAAAGCAAGUCUUUAAAGCUUUUCAAGAGUCUUCAUUGAACGUUUUGACUUCAUUCUAAGGCUCAAGUUCCAAGUUAAGUAUAGAGUUUCAAGUCAAGCAAAGAGUCUCAAGUUUCAAGUUAAGUAAAGAGUAUCGAGUUUCAAUUUAAGUCAUAAUUUUUCAGUCAAGAGUCAAGAGUUGAGUUCAAUUCUCAAAAGUAAUUAGGGAACUAAGUAUUUCCCAAAGAAGUUUUAUAAGUGUUUUCACAUUUAAGUUGAGAGGAAACGGAGAUUUCCAAAAGAGUUUUGAGAAGUUUGAGCACUAUCUCUUUUAAAAGAAAAGAUGAGUUUUUGAAAAAGAGUUUCUAAAUUAUGAUUAGUAUGACAAAUGGAGUAUGUCAUCAAUGUUUAAACAGUAUGGUCUCUAGAUAUACCAUCAAUGUUUAAGCAGUAUGAAUAUCCCGAGUCAUCAAUGAUCAUAAAAAAAAAAAAUGUGGUUUUGACUUGUUCUAUUUAGAAAGAGUUUUCAAGUGCCUUCGGGCUAAGUUUUGAGUAAUUAUCUCAACUAAAGAAAGAUGUGCUUAAAACACUUAUGAGCUAAAGUAUUUUGGGAGUAGUAUCGAGCACCGAAUUGGGGAAACGAGUUCAUAUUAAACUCAACUCUCCAUAAGAACCAUGUAGCCAAACAUGGGAUUUCUCGGAUCAUACUUUUUAGAUGAUCACGAAAGUUAAGCUAGUGGAUCCAUUAAGCAAAAGUUAAAGUAAGGUCCUAUAUCGAUGGCAAGGUAUAGGAUGGUCCUUGGGCAACGUGAGGUAAAACGUUGUAUCACCACUCAGAUUCAUAGUGGUGGUUUGUCGGUUAGAGAAGCUCCCACAGUAGAAAGAGCAUGGUUCCUCGAGGGUUCUGCUUAGUAUGGAUGGGGGUAUGGGACUUCAUUCAUGCAUUGCACAAGUAGACUUUGAGAGGAAGCAUGGUAUUUUUAUGAUAUUAUAAAUAUGAUUUUUACGUCAUGUUUUAAUAGUUUCAAAAGCUUUAUAUAUAUUGCAUGUGUCUCAUUGCUUUAUAUUAAGUUCAGUUAUUCUUGAGUUGUACAGAGCCAAGGUAAGUUCUCUUUUGUAUCCCUUUUCAAGCUUAAGUUGUUGUUUAGCGGUCCAGCUCGCAUACUCGUACAUUCCAUGUACUGAUGCCAGUUGGCCUGCAUCUUAUGACGAUGCAGACACNNNNNNNNNNNNNNNNNNNNNNNNNNNNNNNNNNNNNNNNNNNNNNNNNNNNNNNNNNNNNNNNNNNNNNNNNNNNNNNNNNNNNNNNNNNNNNNNNNNNNNNNNNCAGUCAGUUAGUUUUGAGUCUCUCAUCUAUGUAUAUAUGUAAAUAUUCUAUUUUGAGACUCGAGUGGCCUUUUUGGCCAGAUGUGUAUCAUUUAAGUUGUUUAUGUCUUUGCAUGGCAUUGAGUUAUUCUGUUGAGUAGGUUUCCGCUGAGUUAAGAAAGCCAGGCCAAGGGUUCGCUUGGGGCCAGCAAUGGUCUCUGAGUGCCGGUCCCGCCCAGGGUGUAGGCUCGGGGCGUGACAUGUUUAUUCAUUCUAGCUUGGUAGCAUUCAUAAUGCAAUCCUAGGGGGCUUUGAGAGUUUUGUGUAUUGUGUGAAGCUAGAGGAAGAAUGUAUGAGACACAAGUAUUACUUUAACACUUGUGUGAACCUCUUUGUAUUCAGAGUGAAUUGUGUGAGGUUAUUCUUCUCUAGAUUUUAUAGUGAUUUUUUCAUCUCCUCUUGUGGAUGUAGAUCGGUUGACCGAACCACGAUAAAUGUUUGUGUCUUUUGAUAUAUUUCUUGUUUGUCUUAUUACUCAUCGUCUUUCAAGGUUUGCUUUGCUAGCUUUUGCAUGACACCUAAUUAUUUCAGUCCCAACAAGUGACAUCAGAGUCAGGUUCAAUGGUUUAAUGAUUCAAUGGUCGAACCAUGUUAAAAAUAAGUGUUCAUCUUGACGGGUUUAGUUCUAGCCGUAACAUAUUUGACAGUAAUGAAGAUUUUUGUUGGAGAAAUAUUUUCAAAGAUGUUUUCUGUGUUGAUAUAUAUAUAUAUAUAUAUAUAUAUAGAUUUUGCAGAGGAGAUGCAAGGUAUUGAAGAUUAUGUGAAGAAGGUGGAUCAAAUUUAUUUUGUCAGAAAUUUAGGCCAAUGGAGAUAUUUGUUUAGUAUUUGUCAUGAAUUUCUUAUCAUAAUUGGGUUUUUUCUUUUAGAAAAAGGAAACCACAAAGUUUCCAUAUUUGGCUAGUUCUUUUUCUUGUAGGAAAAUGUUUGACUCUAAAAUUAUAUGUGUAUUCCUUCUAGCCUAAUAGCAUUUACAAUGUAGUCCUAAGGGGCAUAGAGAGUUUUGUGUAUUGCGUGUAGCUAGGGGGAGAAUGUGUGAGACACAAGUGUUACUUUAACACUUGUGUAAACCUCUUUGUUUUUCCAUUGAAUUGUGUAAGGUUAUUCCUCUCAAUAUUUUGUACUUUCUUUUAUAUAGUGAAUUGCUCAUAUCCUCUUUUGGAUGUAGGUCGGUUGUCCGAACUACGUUGAAUAUUUAUGUCUUUUGGUAUAUUUUUCGUUUGUAUUAUUACUCAUGGUCUUUCAAAAUUUGCUUUGCUAGCUUUUGCCUGAUACCUAAUAAUUUCAGUCCCAACAAAACCAAACGUGAAAGUUGUUUUCCAGCAGACAACUUUUCUAGUAGCUCUACUCUCGACUUGGAUAAUUUAACCAAAAAGGUACGCUUUCGGCCAUUCUACAUGCUGCCUAUGUAGAGACAUGUUUAUCUAAAGUGGAUUCUCUUUUUUGUAGUAGGUAUCAAACCUGUUAUGCCCAUUGACUAAGAAGCUAGGGGUGGACACAACAACUACAUGGACCUCUUUCUUACAUCGGCCAUCACUAUUAAUCGUCUUUGUUAUCACAAUGACCACCACUAUUACCGUCAUCAAACAUCUCUGUCCUCACAAUUACCAUUAUUAUCAACCACUACUAUAUAUCAAACAUUUGCUAUAUUUAUGUUUUUUAUUGACAUAAACAAUGGGUUAACAUGAUAUAAUUUAUUAGUAGUUUUAUAUAUUUUUCUUAUAAUAAAGGAAACAAUCACUUAUACAUUCUUUGAGAUCAUUUAGUUUAAAAUCAGGAGUGGAAUCAUAACUAGGGUUAUAGCUUAGCAUCAAUUCACCUUCUUAAUUAAUGGGAUAAUUUAAUUAGCUAAAUUUGAAUGAAAAGAAGAAGAAAUUGAUUAAUUUAAUUCGUUUACGUUCCAAUGGGGUGUGCAAUAUCCAUAAAUUUGUCAUGUCGUUAUUAGGUGUUCAUGAGAUGCACAUAUUCCAAGCAAAAGUACCUAUUUGAUCACUAGAUGAGUUUAAGUAUUCAAUUUACAAAUUCUGCCAAAUUUGAGGGACUAUCUAGGUAUUAUUUAGAUAAAAUUAUUUGUAUAGUCCACUCUAAACAUACUUAUAAUUAAGCAAGUAACAUAUACUAUAUAAAGAAGCUUCUAGAGAUAAUUAAAGUUAACUCUAUAUAAUUAGAGUUGCAAUAACAAAUACGUCAAAACAUUAAAGUGUUUCACCAAUAAAGUCAUUUUUUUAAUGUCCAAAACUAAUCCAAUGGAAGCUCUAUUAUGUGGAACACCAGAAGAAGUUUCAGUAUUGUUGGUACAUCAUGAAGUAGAAUUUCUUACUAAUCAGACUGUUAAAUUGUUAGAGGCUUAUAAAUACAAAGGUGACAUUCUAGAAUUUUUUUAACUUUUUUGUUUCUUUGAUAUAAUAACUAAAUGCCGUGUGACAUUUUUUUUUAUAUAUAGAGAGAGAUUGAAAUGAUAUGCUUUUUGUUAUCUCAUUUAUGAUUUUAGCAUCGUCCAUUUUUAAAUUUCAUUUAUCUUGUAAAUCUUGAACUUUUCUUUUUCCUUGUUAUCAUAGCACUUUUUAAUUUUUACAAAUUUAUCUAUCCUCGAAGAAAAAUAAUUCUACAUUAGUGAUGGAUGCACAAGAAAUUAGGAUGACGGGAGGGAAGAGAAAGAGCACGAAAAAGACAUGAUAAGAGAUGAUCUGUCUAUCAUUAUUACUUGAGAUAAUAUUUUUUUGUCUUUUAUUGGAUGUAUAAAAAAAAAUGAGGAGAUCUAAUUUUCAUUAAAAAAACAUUUCCCUUUCUAUUUUUUGUUUUUGUUUUUCGUUGGACGUAGACAAAAAAUUGGCAACUCCUUUCUUAUACUUUGUUAGAUCAUCUAAUUACAUAUCUAUGAAAUAAAAUUACCUCAAAACAUUUUAUCCUAUUAUCUUUUGCUUUAAUAUUUAUUUGUUUUUGACAAGCCAUAAAUAAAUUGGAAUAGUUUUUAGAAAUAUAUUCUUUAGGAUCUUCUCUAGUUUUUAGUAAUCCAAUUAACGAAAAAAAAAAACUAAUAUAUACUUUUUAUGUAACCAAUCUAGUUAAGAUUGCACUCAUCAUUUAUAAUAUAAGUUGAUUAAUAUGUGUUAUUUUAAAAAUUAAAGUGCAGAAAUAUAACAUGAAAAUUCACAGUUGAAUUUGAAUAACAAACAAACAUAUCCAAAUGAUACCUUUGUGUACAAUAUUUUUUUUUUCAUAAUUUUCACUGAUUUCAAAUUGCACGGGUAUAUGUAGUUACGGAAGUUAUGGCUCCUGCGGCAAUGUCAAUGCUUUUCAAAGAAAAGAAAAAAAUUGAUGCAAUGAUAAUCAAGGUCAUUUCACCGGAUUCACAUUGCUUUGAGCUCCUGGCACAAGCUGUAACCUUGAACAUCAUCGUAGUAAGUAAGUAUUUAUAAUUCUAUCUUCCACUUAUUAUUAUAGACGGUAAAGUAAGUUUUUUUAAUUAACUAUUGCAUAAUGUAUAUAAUAUUAUUCAAUUUUAAUUGCUAUCUUCUUGAUAUAAUUAUGCAGUUGUCUAUGAUGAACUCAAUGAAUUCUUAGUGAAGAAAGCUUUGGACAAUGGAGCUUACAUUUGCUCGAAGAAGCCUCUUGUCGAGCAAACUAUGACAUUCUUGUGGCAAUUUGUAUGGAGGGAGAAAACACAAAGAGGGAAAUCAAUAAAAAGAGUAGAAACAAAGGGAGAUCAUAUUUUUGUUUGAAGUUAUUGGAGUUCUGAGAAAACAAUAGGUCGUGGUUUUUUCCUCCCUUGAGCAAAGAGGUUUCCACGUUAACAUAUGUGUUCUUACUUUAAGCAUUUAGAUUACUUCUUGUUAUCAGUAUAGUCAAGUGGUCAGAACACGAGAAGACAUGUCACUAAACAACAACAUAUAUAGGAAAAAACAAACUCUGCUAAGUGAUCGAUCCGUGUGUGAUAGUUGCCUUCUUAACCUUGAACUAUUGCUUCCUGCUAGAUUAUAUGAACUUAGAUAUGUAUACAAAUUAGUAUUCAAUGAGUUCCCAAACAUUCGUGCAUAAACAAUUUCCCCUGUUGUCGUGCCACCAGGACUUAGCAUAUGUUCUGUAUUUGUAUAAUUUCGAUGAUGAUCAUGAGAUUGCUGGGAUAAUGGAGGCAUAUUAUUAUUGUGUAUUAGACCGUGACUCCUACAUCUCGAACUAGGAGGUCUUUGUGGUAUGACUAUACCAAAAUUCUAUACCAAAAUUCGGGGCCUUAAUUUCAGAUGUUUUUGUAGCUUGACAGCGACCAUAGAGUGGAAUCAAUGUUUUUUGUGAGACUUCAGCUUUGCAAACAGGGCAAUUUGGUUGUUGGUUAUCGAUGUUCUCUGAUGAAAUGGUCUUAAAAUGUAUCCAUUUGUAGAUGCAAGGCCAACAAUAGGAGGUGACCACAUAAUGUAACAACAGGAUCAUGUACAACAUCUAGGCAAAUGUUGCACUCGAAACCUCCAGGUGAAUUUUCUUCAAGUUUAUCAAGAUCAAUUGUCUCCAUUUUUCAAAGGAAAUAUCGCGUUGAUCAAAGGUAGUUUCUGCUAUUUGGUCUUGAAAAAUUUGUUCUAAGGCCAUAUUUGCCUCUUGGUAUUGAAUUAUUUUGGUAAUGGCAAGAUGAAGAAUGGUUAGAAUUCAGGUUUUUAAUACAAUUAGAAGUGAGUAUUUAUAAGGACAAAGAAUAGUAGUUUGCAAACAAUGAUUCUUAAGGUUGUCACUUGUCAACAUCACAUUAUGUUAAAGGGGCAUGGCCAAAAAGAAAAGGCCCUACACAUUAUUAAACAACACUAUAUCAUAUUACUCAACAGUCUUGAUUUAUGGGGUAUUGUUUGAUUUGAUAUAACAUUUAAUAAGAAAAUGAAGACUUUUAAAAUAUGUACUGUAUUAAAGAUAAAAAAUAAAUUUUAAGUUUUUCGAUCCUAGAAAUGAUAUUCUUUUUAUAUUAAGACUAAAACAAAUGUUUUACAUAAAUUAAGAUAGAUGAACUAUCAAACACAUCAUAAUUAAGUGAUUUAAUGAAGUCAAAAAUAAAUAUUAAUGGAUCAUGGUUAAGUGAGAGGAGUUUUGUGCAAACACGUCUUUUAUCUAUCUAUUUGAUUUAAACAAGCAUAAGUUUUAUCAUAUUAGAAAUAUGAUUAGGACCUUAUAUUAGGCCCCAUGAUAGGAAUCUUAAUCUAGAAAAUAACUUUUAGUCAAUAAAAAGUAGCACUAGUUGCGUACAAGGAGCUACCACUUGAUGACCUUCCACACUUCCACAUCCCAUAAGUUCAAUAGUUUUCACACUAUAAGAACUAGAUGUUUUUUUCCGCGUGAAUCAAUAAAAUUUUUAGUUUUAUGUUAUAAAACAUGAUUUUUUUCAUUUUGAUUUUAUUAAACUAAUUCACUAAGAAAAUUCAUAACGAAACAUAAGUUCUCAUUGAAAUACUGGAAAUAGUCACUUGGAAAUUUAUGAGUUUUAGGAAAUUAUGCAUCAAAACUUAGAAAGACGCGGCUCAUAUAGAAAUUUGUUGUUAAAUCAUAAUAUAUACUUUUACAUCUGAAUAUCUUUAUUGAUUUGGUUAAAAUUAUAAUUAAAAAAAUUACAAUACAAUAUAUAUAGAUUCACAUAAAUUUAAUACUGUAAGUUCAAUUAUUAUUCAAUUAUUAUUAUGAUAUAUUAAUCUAAAAUUAUUAUAGAAGCUUCUAAACUCUAAAUUCAGAUCCAACUAAGGAGUGAAUAUACAUAGUGGGGGUCUGGGGGAUGGGAGAAAACAUAUGGACGGUGUGACAAAUAAAUAAAAGAAAUACUCCGUCCAUUCCAUUUGACUUAGUAUUGUUUGACUUAAUACGAUGUAUAAGAGAAAAAAAAGAUUUUAGAAAAUUAUAGGCUAAAACAAUUUUUAUAUAUUUAUAUAAUUGUAAAUCAUUUCAUUAAUUAAGGGUAGAUGGAGAAUUUUAAGUUUAAUUAUUUUCAAUUACAAUAAAAUGACAUUUUUAAAGACGGAUUAUGAGAAUAGAGUGCCACGUAAAAUAAAACGAGAAAAUACUACUCCCUCCUUCCCAUUUUAUAUGUUACCUUUUUACUUUACAUUUACAUUAAGAAAUAAUGUAACUUUACCCUUCUACCCUUAUUUAAUGUUUUCUUAAGUUAACUUUAUAACUCCCUCCGUCCCAUUUUAUAUGUCAUCUCUUUCUAUAAAUAGUUGGACCACAAUACUUGUCAUUUUAUAAAAUUUAUGUAUAAAUUACCAUAUUUUACCUAUUAUAUCCUUGAUAGAGUAGUUAAUUAAUCUUGAAAAUAUAUUCAUCAUUUAUUAUAAAUUGACUUAAGAAAAUAUUAAAUAAGAAUAGAAAGAUAAAAUUACAUCAUUUCUUAAUAAAAGUAUAAAGUAAAAAUGUGACGUAUAAAAUAGAACGGAGGGAGUACUACAAAAGAACGAGUCCGCACAUGCAUUAUACAAGUACUACAUGUGUCUCGAAUUUAGCAGCCUUUUGUCAACUUUUUAUAUUUUGGCUUACUUGGAAGCAAGUCUAUCCUCUCCUAUACAAUCAAUUAGGGUGGCCAUUAAUCAUAUAUUAUUAGGCUAAAGAUAACAUAUUGCUCCCUCCGUUUUUAAUUAUUUAUCCAUUUUUUUAGUUAUUCCUAAUUACUUGUCUAUUUUUACAAAUCAAGAAAGAACAAUUUUUUUUACCUAUUAUACCGUCAAUUUAUUACUUUGAAAAAAGUAGAACUUUUUGAAAAUCUUGAGUUUUUAAUUCAUCCACUUCAUAAUUAAUAUGGAUAAAAUGGUAAACUCACUAUUUCAAUAAUUGUUUUCUUAAUAGGUGUGCCAAUUCAAAAAUGGACAAGUAAUUAGGGAUAGAGAAAGUAUAUCGAAAUAAUAUAAUAAGAUAUUAUGCUAAAGAUAAUUAACAAAACUUUGAACAAUUAUAAAUAAGAUAGCAAAAAAAUCCAUAGUAAAUUAACAUGGUUCAACGAUUAGUGAUGGAAUCUGAAUAUGAUUCAGGAUUUUCACUAUUAAUGAAAUUCAAAAGGAAUAAUACAUAAAUGUGCCCUUUAACUUGACUUCAUUUUAUGUUUAUGUCCUUCAACUUUGGGUAUACACAAAUAUGCACCUAAACUUGUAUAAAGUUGAACAACUAGACACAUGAGUCCUACAUGACACAAUACACAUAAGAUACCACGUAGGAUAAAAAAUGCCAUGUAGGACAUGUGUGUCUAUUUUUUCAACUUUAUACAAAUUUAAAUAUCUACUUGUGCACACCCAAAGUUGAAGGGCAUAAAUGUGAUUUGAAGCCAAGUUAAAGGGUAUAUUUAUGUAUUAUGCCUAUUCAAAAUAUGAAUAAAUAAACAUAUAAAUUAGCUGACUACAAUAAUAGACAGAUAAAAAAUAAUUUUAACUAUAUGUAUAAAUAAUAUAAUUUUUCAUCGAAAGAGGUUCAUCUGAUUCCUCACUACUUUCUCUCAUUCAAAACUAAGCAAUAUGAGACUUUCAUGUCACAUGGAACCCUUUUUUUUUUUUUUGGAAAUCUCAGUAGUUCAGUUAAUUGACUGACUAUCUGAAUUCUCGAUUUCCCAUGUUGUAAUCCUCUACCCCAAUUUUUUUAUUACCUUCCUCACAUAUGUAUAAGACCGAAUCCAAAUAUCUAAGAUGAGAGAAUUUUGGGAGAGCCACCGACUCCAACUACUGCCAUAUAUUAUCCAUAUUAGAUUUGACCAACUAUCCAUCCUACCCUCCUCUACGUUCUUGACAACCCAUUUUUGUCUUAGUCAAGUCUUUUAGUGGCACGUUUUGAUCCUCUUUUCAAUUACUUAGAAAAAGUGAGUUAUUAUUCAGAUACAAAAUACUAUCAUUAUCGCCUAAAAAAUUAGACAUUCAACCCGUAAUCACAAUGAUCCAAUUACAAAAGCUCCGAACCCCCUAGGUCUAGACUGGCUCUGGCCCUAGUUUUAUCUCUUGACCUUCACAUGAGUAAACUCGUUGAUAUAGAGGAUUACAGUAUUGAUUUCUUUAAAAGAAAAAAACCUUAAUUUAAGGUAUGGAGGCCUAGAAAGGAAACACACGUUAUAUAUGGAGCCUGUUCUGGCCUAUACAGUAUAUAUGUACAUAAAAUUUGGAGUAUCUAAAGAACCACUGACAAAUGGCUACGAAAGAUCAUAUACAAUUAAAUUACAAGCCAUUUGCAAUCAUCCUGCCACCUUAAGCAGAAAAAAUGAAAACGAAUAAAACAAACACUCACACAUUUGGCUUCUGAUUUGACAUUUAUUUCAGAGAACUGGCUAGUCCUCAGAACACCUUAACUACUCGCUGCAGAAAAAGAAAAAAAAGACGCAAAAAAUGGAAAAUAAUAUGUUAGAUGUCCCAUAAUUAAGGAACAAGAGAACAUUAUAGCAAGAAUGAGCAUGCAGGUACGUAUAAGAACUUACACAUUAUUGCGGCAAGAAGCAACUUCUUUCUCAAAGUCAUCAUCAUCAUCAUCAUCUUCAUCUGUUGUCACACUAUCGAAAAUGCUUGCAACAAAAGAUGAAAAAUGAAAUGUUACACUUCCCAAAAUCAAGAAUGAACAUGCAAGUAUAACAAGUUACAAAAUAUUGGAAGGAUUCGAAUCAAUCACAAUGACAGCAUCAAGAACUUUUGUUGAAUUGAUGCAAUUUGACUUACUAAAGCUAUUAUCCAGAUUAUUAUCGAGUUUACUAUGAUGAUGAGUUAAAUAUUGUUGUAAAUCAAGGAAGAAGAUGUCUUACAAAAGAUUCACGAGUAUGGACCUCGAUAGAGCUUCCAUAGUUGUCUUGAAUGUCCUGUUGAAUUUGCUUGGCGGAAUUCCCAACAGAUUGUUUACAGUCACUUAUAUCAAUAAGAGCUAGUGUGGUUAUAUCUGCAAAAUCUCGAGGGAUUGAAUCCAAAGAAUAGCAAUCUUUAAGAAAAAGUCGUUCAAGGUACGGAAAGUGAUCACUACUAGCUCUCCAGUACCGAAUGUAUACUCUAUCCAGAAACAAGAACUUUAAGUGAGGAAACCCUUCCUCAACUACUUCCCACUCCUCGCCUAUGAAGGCAUUGUCUGAUAGUUUAAGGACCUCGAGUUUGGAUAAUUUACCAACAAUGCUCAAAUCCUUCCAUGCCAAAGAAAAUUUUCCCCUAAAAGUUAAACUCUUAAGGUUUUGUGGAAAAGCAUCCGGAGGAGGUAAGAGUAAAGUUGGAACAUCAGUUGGAGGUGCAGUUCCCCCGAAACGAGUCUGAAACCUCAGAGGAUCUUGCGGAGUAGAACCUGAAGGUGCAGUGUUUUUUAGAAAGCAAGCAAUAGGUGAAUAAUAAAUACCAAAUGUCAAUUUCUCGAGCUGAUAUAAGUAGCGAAAAUCAUACAGGUCCUUGUGAUUGCGAAAGUCCUCUGGGACGCCAAAUACUUUCAACUUCUUUAAAUUGGGAAAUAGUCUAAAAAAAGACCCUGUACAAUACCGAGGAUUCAAUUGAUUGAGGCAUUGCAAACUUUUCAAAACCAAUCUGUUCUCUGUAGGCUCAUGACUCUGCAAGUAAUUCCAGCCCAUAUGCAGCUUCCUCAAUUGUGGCAUCGUCAAAAUUUCCGAUGGUAAUAUGAAAGGAUAACUACUAUUGGGAAAUGGAAGGUAAAGUUUAAAAGUUUGCAGAUAGCAUAGGCUUGAUAUCGAUAGAGGAAUGUCUAUUAUUGAUGAGGGAACAGCUUCUUUCGAUCCUCGAUACUGCUUUAAGCAAGGCUUAAAACACAAAGAUAGGUAUCUCAAAUGAAAUAGAGAAAGUACUCCACUGGGAAAAAAUGGGCAUAUAGUCAAACCAAGAUCUAGUACUCUUACUAGCUUGAAAGACAAUGCCAGUGUGACGCAUUUGAAUCCACCCAACAUGAUAAUAGAAUGAGCCUCACUGCUACAACACCAAACCAAUUUUUUCUCAUUAUGGAUUCUGAUCCGAUUUCGACUCUUAAAGGAACACUGCAUGGAUUGUUCACAUGAAUUUUGAUAACUCUUUCCUCUGAUAACAUUCACAAAAUUCAUGUUUCGAGCUUCCCUCAAACAGAGUUCACGGGUCACAUCAUGCAUUCCACAACUUUCUAUUGUUCCACGAAAACUAAAAUUGUGGAUGAAAAUUAAGCUUCUAUCUAUAAGUUCAUUUAUACAUGUUGUUGCCACCUCUUCUAUGCUUUUUCCCUCUUCUUCAUUCAAAAACCCCUCUACGGCCCAUAAUUCAACAAGUUUAUUUACAUAAAUCUGUUCAUCCUCUGCGAAAAUUGCAAAAUACAGAAAACACGGUUUUAGGUGAGAAGGCAAGUGAUGGUAACUCAAAGCCAACACUCUCAUGCACUUUGCUUCAAGAUCUGUGCUUACCACUGAACUUACAUUCUCCGCAACAUAUUGCCACACACCCAAUGUUUUACUGAUUUUGGAGAGAAGUCCAGCAAUCACAGUAAUUGCUAGAGGUAACCCUCCACAUUUUAAUGCAAUUUGUUUCCCAAUAUUUUCAAAUUCAGGAGAAUAAGAACCUUCUUUUUCAAAGAUCUUUUUGUGUAGUAAAUUCCAACUUUCGUCAAAAUUCAUGAGGCGCAUGUGAUGAGGAGGCUUACCUGACCUAGCACAUUCAGCCACUUCCACAUUCCGAGUAGUCAGGAGUAUUCUGCUUCCAUUAUAACAGUCUGGGAAACAUAGUUUUAUAUCAUCCCAAGCUUCUGUAGUCCAUAUGUCAUCAAUGACUACCAAGUAUCUCCUGCCUUUCAGAUGCUUCUGCAAUCGGUCCGCUAGCUGAUCAUCAGGUUCAUCACUUAUCGAAGGAAGAAGGCCUAGGAUUACAUUUCUCACACAAUACUCUUGUGAAACAGUUGCUUUUGCACGAAUAUCAAAUCGAGACAUAAUGUAAGGAUCACUAUAGAGUUUUGUAGCCAAAGUUGUUUUCCCGAUACCUCCCAUCCCUACGAUUGAGACAACUUCUAGUUCCCUUCCUCCUCUAGCAAGUUGAUCCAGCAUCAUCUCAAAUUCAUUUUCACGGCCAACCAUUAUAUUCUCGGGCUGCUCAACAGCAUGUUCAGGUAAACUGACAAGUGAGCUAGUUUGUGGUUUUAGAUCUUUCAUGCUGUCCGAUGCUGCCAUCCACUGUUUCACGGUGGAAGCAAUGCAUUCUAGUGCUUGUUCCAAGACGAAAAAAAUCUCCCACAUAGCCCUGCUUCUUUCCUCCAAAUUCUGUGCUAAAAAAACAUUUCUUGAUUCCGAGUCAACCAUAUCUUCUGUUGUGUAUGCUACCUCUGCGAUUUCAACUUCCAAGAUUGUUAACCCCUCAUGAUCGCCCAUUAUAUUGCAGGAUUUCUCCAGAAUAGCUCUCAAAGAUUUGAGCUUUUCAUAAAACGGUUGCAAAUCACAUCCAGUAAGUUCCAUUGAUUGAUGUAUGGUUCUCAUAAGGGAAGUAACAGCAGCAUAAGCCAUAUAUCCAAAAAAUAGAAAUAUCUCUCAGUAUGAAAAUGGACAAAUUGCCACAAGUUAUGUAAUUUUUCAGUUUUUAAGAAAACAGAAAAUGCAAAGUUCUUUCUUUUACUAGCUAUUUCCAUCACAUUUCCAGCUAGGUCCACCAACCUUAUCAUCAUGUAGACAAAAGCAGAGACCAAAGUUAAAAAAAAAAGAAAAAAGGCAGGACUCUAACAGGAAAAAGUAGAAAAAAUUGUGACCAUUCAUUAUUAGACCCUACACUUAUCUAUUCAUGAAUAUAGGUAUGUUUCUUACAUACAAGAGAUUGAUGAUUUUAAUUCCAUUGAAAGCAACUUCGUAGAAUUUUCCAAAUCAAAGAGAGAGAAAUAUUAAGAUCCAAGUAGGAAUUUCUCUAUUCCUAGUUCGAUUCAAUUAACCAAGCAUAAAUAUCUCUUUAAAUAUAUAUGAGAAGUUUAGACUCUAAAAGUCAAAUCAACAAAAUAUUUAUGGGCUAACACAUGAAAAACUAUUGAGAAAAUUGCCUAAUUUCUGUAAAUUGGCCCUUAAAUCUCCAAAAUGGACUCUAAAAAUUGUCAGACUGUACGUAUUGCUCCCAACUCCCUACUAAGGGUUCUGUAAUUUCGAUUAGAAUUCGCCCGUAAGUCAUAUCACCAAUAUAUUAAUGACUAACACACACGAAAAACUAAGAAAAUUGUCUAAUUUCUUGAAAUUGGCCCCUAAAUGCCUAAAAUGGACUCUAAAAAAUUGUCAGACUGUACGUAUUGCUCCCAACUACCUACUAAGGGUUCUGUAAUUUCGAUUAGAAUUCGCCCGUAAGUCAUAUCACCAAAAAUAUUAAUGGGCUAACACACACAAAACACUGAGAAAGUCGCCUAUUCCUGUAAAUUGGCCCCUAAAUGCCCAAAAUGAACUCUAAAAUUGUGAGACUAUGUACUGCUCCACUAACUCCCUAUGGAGGGUUCCGUAAAGAUUUCACAAAGAAAUUAUUCGGAAGAUAUAUCACCAAAAUAUUUAUGGGCUAAUACAUUUUUAUUUGUCCAUUUGAUUUGAUAUAUCUUUCAAGUACUUUGAUCCGGUUAUACUUUUUUUUUAUUGCUAAAAAUAAAUAUCCACUUUUACUUGUUCAUUCUACAAAACAAAGACAAUAUUUUAUUGCUUGAUUCAGAUAUAAAAUUUGAGUAGGCUAAUUUACAAACCAUCUGUAGUCAUCCUGCCCCUAUGCUAUAACAUUUGAAAGAAAGAGGUCAUCAUCAUCAUAUUCAUCAUCGUUGUCAUCUUCAUCUUCAUCUUCAUCAUCAUCUUCAUCUUCAUCAUCAUCUUCAUCAUCAUCUUCAUCUUCUUCAUCAUUAUCAUCAUCAUCAUCAUGAUCGUCAUCGUCACUUGUUUCCUCACUGUUGAAAAAGCCAGCAACAAAAGAUGAAAAAUGAAAUGUUAUGCAAGUAUAACAAGUUACACAAUUACUAUAUUGGAAGGAUUUAAAUCAUAUACAAUGACAACGUAUGAACUUUUACACUAUAGGUGCCAUUUAACUGCUUAUUAAAGCAACUUAUAAUUAUUUUAUUACUAGUUCUGGACACAUGCUUUGCAUGUGUAUAUUACACGUUUAGUCACGAUUGUAAGAGGGUGUACACCAGGAUCAUUCGAAGAGCAAAGUCGUGUGAGCCUUACAGAUAUUCUUGACGUACUCCUAUUAAAAUCUGUAUCAUAAUAUCUGAUGAAAUCAGCUACUGAUCAGUCAAGCUCUCCAUUGAUGUAGACUUCAACUACACAUGAGAAAGAAUGAGAGAAGAAGAGAGAAGAGAAGAGAAGAAGAAUCUAGAAGAGCAACAUGAAAAUUAAUCUCUCAUUGAAUGUGAAUUAAAACUACAAGAAUUACAAUGUGACUAUAUAUAUAUAAUCACUGGCAGAAAUUAACUAACUAACAAACUUGAUUCUAACUAACUCUACUGUACAUAGAUUCUAACUAACUCUACUGUACAUAACCGACUCUACUGUACAUAACUAACUAAUUAUACUUUAUAUUCUCAUCACCCCCCCUCAAGUUGGAGGUGAUGUAAUUACAGACAACUUGUGCAAUAAGGCAGUAUGUUUAACUCCAGUCAGAGCCUUGGUGAAGAUGUCUGCCAACUGUGAAUCAGUGGGAAUAUGAUGGAGUGUGAUUAGGCCUUGUUGAAGCUUGGUCCUAACAAAGUGACAAUCGAUUUCUAUGUGCUUUGUCCUCUCAUGAAAAACUGGAUUCUUUGCAAUGUGGACUGCUGCUUGACUGUCACAAUGGACAGGGAUAGGUAAGGAGCAUUGUACAGUCAACUCAUCCAACAAUCGUUCAAGCCACACUAGUUCUCCUACAACUUGUCUCACAGCUCUAUAUUCAGCUUCAGCAGAUGACAAAGACACUGUUGCUUGCUUCUUAGACUUCCAGCUGACAGGACUAUCACCCAGAAGCACUAGGUAUCCACUAACAGACUUCCUGGAAUCAGGGCAAGCAGCCCAAUCAGAAUCACAAUAAGCACUGAUAGUGAGAUCAGGCUUGUUUGAGAUAAAAAUUCCCAAUGUUGGAUCCUGUUUCAAAUAUCUGAGCACAUGGUAUGCUGCUUUUAAAUGUGGUUCCCUAGGUGAUUGCAUAAAUUGGCUCAAGUGUUGUAUACUAUAAGCUAUGUCCAUUCUAGUGUUGGUCAAAAAAUUUAGCUUACCAACCAACUUCCUGUAUUGAGUAGGAUCAGAUAAAAGAUUGCCAUCUGUAGCUGUUAACUUCUCAGUGCAAUCAAGUGGUGAUGUAGUGGCCUUGUGACUUAACACAUCAAAAUCUUUCAGGAGAUCAGAAGUGAAUUUCCUUUGUGAAACUAGCACUCCAUCAUGUCUGUAUAAUAUUUCCAGUCCCAGAAAGUAGUGUAGUUUGCCCAAAUCCUUUAUCUUGAACUGAUCAUUUAAGAAGCUCUUUAAGGAGUUGAUUUCAGCCACAUCUGUUCCAGUUAGAAUUAUGUCAUCCACAUAUACAGCAACAAACACCAAGGAGCAGCCCUUCCUUUUGUAGAACAGUGAGUAAUCACUGUCUGAGUGCUGAUACCCUCUUGAACAUAGACAGUUUGCCAACUUCUCAUACCAUUGCCUGCUGGCCUGUUUUAGUCCAUACAAAGACUUCUUCAAUUUGCACACCAUGUUAUCACAACCUACUACAAGACCUUGUGGAGGUGCCAUGUACACUUCCUCAUGCAAAUCACCAUGUAAGAAUGCAUUAUUGACAUCUAGCUGAUACAAGCUCCAAUCUUUCUUAACAGCUAAAGAGAUUAAUGUUCUAACAGUAGUCAUUUUAACUACAGGUGAGAAGGUUUCAGUGUAAUCUACCCCAACUUGUUGUGUAUAACCUUUGACCACCAACCUACACCCCAGCUUGUUGUGUAUAACCUUUGACCACCAGCCUAGCCUUGAACCUCUCCACACUCCCAUCAGCUUUGUGCUUGAUUUUGUACACCCACUUGCACCCAAUAGCUUUCUUCCCAUCAGGUAACAUGACCAUCUCCCAAGUGUCAUUAGCAUACAAAGCUUCAAACUCCUGUGUCAUGGCCUGCUGCCAGGCAGGGUGCAAUAUUGCUUCCUCAAAUGAAAUAGGCUCACAUUCAUGUGAAAUGGUUGUUACUAACUGCUGACUAUCAGAACAAAGACUGGUGAAACAUACAUGUUUAUGGGGAGAUAUAAAGGAAGUGAGGGAGUGCAGCUUAGGUAUAGUGUAGGUGUAUUCUUUUAGGUAAUUAGGAGUGUGUAUGGUUCUGGUUGUUCUUCUAGGUGCUGAUAUUGUAGGUACUGGUAAAGUAUCAUGAUGCAUGGUGGCAUUUGGAUCAGGUAAGGUAGGUUGAGUUGUAGUAGGUUGAGUUGUAGGUUCAUGUAGGACAGCAGGUGGUACUUCAUUCAUGUUGGUAUUACUGGUUACUUGAUUAUUAGUGACUUCAUGUGGUGUGAAAUUUUCCAGUUGAUCAUCAUUAGCAAAAAUGUUCAUUUUACCAGACAUACAAGGCAUGCUAGUGGUAUGAGUAAGCAUUUGCAGAAUGGAAUUGAAACUAGAACCAUCAGGGGCAAUAACAAAAGGAAAAAUAUUUUCUUGAAAAAUAACAUCUCUUGAUAUAUGAACUUUCUUGGUAGCUAAAUUCAAAACUUUGUAACCUUUUGUAUUGAAAGGGUAACCAACAAAAACAUGAGGUGUGGUUCUAGGUUCAAAUUUAUCUUUGUGAGUUUUCAAGGUAGUGGGGAAACAAAGACAACCAAAACUCUUAAGGUGGGAAUAUGUAGGUGAUUUAUGGUACAACAUUUCAUAUGGAGAUUUAUUCUGUAAAAGUUGAGUGGGCAGUCUAUUAAUCAGGUAUGUGGCAGUCAAUACACAUUCCCCCCAGUACCUCAUAGGCAACUUUGACUGAAACAAAAGUGCCCUUGCUGUUUCAAGUAGGUACUUAUGUUUCCUUUCUACCACCCCAUUUUGUUGAGGUGUAUAAGGACAAGUUCUUUGGUGUAUGAUACCUUGUUUUGGAAGAAAUUUGUGGCUUCAGCUGAAGUAAACUCUAACCCAUUGUCAGAUCUUAUGGCUUUUUAACUUGGUUUGGAAUUGGUUUUCUAUGAGAGAUAUGAAGGCUUUGAUAGUUUGGAGAGCAUUACUCUUACAUCUCAGCAAUUGUGUCCAAGUGGACCUACUGUGGUCAUCUACCAUAGUGAGGAAAUAAUGAUAUCCAUCAUGAGUGGGAACAUGAUAUGGUCCCCAUAGGUCAACAUGUAACAACUCAAACACUUUAGUGGUGGUGGUGAUACUUUCUGGAAAAGGCAUCCUAGUUUGCCUAGCCAUAGGGCAUAUAUUGCAAGUAAAAGGCUGUUUAGGAGAAAAAUGAACAGGUAUAGUUGAGAUAUUUUUCAUUUUUACAAAAGGUACAUGUCCUAAUCUAGCAUGCCACAAAAGUUCAUCAUCAUGAGUGUGAUUAGAGACAUUUGUAAAUGAAGGACAAGCAUGAGUAAAACAAGAGGAAGGAAAAACAGUACAAUCUGCCUUAUUCAUAGGAGAGUAUUUUACAGAAGAACCAGUGGACACAUUAGAAUCUGAAACCCUGCUAGUAUUGCCUAAAGAAGAGACAAGAGGACAAUUAACAUGAGGUGCUUUACUCUCAGCAGAUGGACAACAAUUGUGGCAUUUGUGACACAAGAAGUACAGGCCAUUCUUGGCUUUACCAAGUUCCAGAGGGCUCUUCAGAGAAGGGCCCUGCAGCAAACAAGAAGAUUUGUCAAAGCUGACUACACCAUUGAAUUGUAGUGCUAAACAAUGAACAGAAAUGAGAUUAAACUUGAAGCUAGGUACAAACAACACUUUGCUUAGAGUCAAAGCUGGAUUUAAACAAGCAUCACCAAUUUCAGUCACUUUAACCUUGUAACCAUUAGGGAGUGAAAUUAGAAAGGGAUAUGGAAGUGAAAUGAUGUUUGUGAGGGUGGUCUUAUCAUAGGUCAUAUGGUGUGAUGCUCCUGAAUCUAUGAUCCAAGAGCCAGCAGUCAGUUUAACACAUUUACAAGAAAGAUCACCUAUAUCAGUAAUAGAGGAAUAACAUGCAAGUAUACCUGCCAAGUUCACAGCUCCAUUCAGCAUGUUGUUUGAGUUGUCUGAGGCUCCAUUUCCAACUUGUAAAGUUCCCAGGAGAUUGAGUAGUUGUUCAUAUUGAUCUUUGGACAAGUUCAAUGGCAUUUGUCUCCUUACUUCAGGUUCCUCUUCAGAUUGAACUCCAUUCAUAUCAGGGGCACACACAUUUGCUGCAGCUUUUCCCUUUUUGAACCUUGGAUUUGGAUUGGAUGGGUAUCCAUGAAGCUUGUAACAUCUAUCCUUUGUGUGUCCUGAUUUCUUACAGUAGUCACAAAACAAAGAAGACUUGCCAGUGCUAGAAUUGCCUCUAAACCCAGUAUUACCAGAAUUGGUUCCACCUCCUCCAGAUGAACUGUAGUUUGUCCGGAAUCCCCUGUAUCCUGCACUGCUGUUGGUCUGUCCAUAAGCAUUGAGAGAGGUAGAAUCCAAGGCUGUAUGAUUAUGAGGCUUCACCUCCCUUUGUUUUUCCUCUUGGGAUAAUAUGGCAAAAGCUUGAGCCAUGCUUGGAAGUGUGUUCAUCAUGAGAAUGCUGCCUCUGACAGUCGUAUAUAUCUCAUUCAAUCCCAUUAGAAAAUGUAUCAAUCUUCUGUCUUGUUCAGCCUUGUGUAAUUUGCUUUUACCCCCACAAAUGCACACACAAGUACACUGAGAAUUGACAUCAAUGGUACUCAUUUCCUCCCACAACUUCUUCAUUCUUGUGUAAUAUCCAGUGAUGUCUAAAGUGCCUUGGACCAGAUCAUUAAUUUCCUUCUGCAGUUGAUACAAUUUACACCCAUUGGUUUGAUCGUACCUUUCUUCUAGUUCUCCCCAAAGCUCCUGAGCAUUAUUGACAUACUGCAGACUAUCACGCAAAUCUGGUGACAAGGAAUUCAGGAUCCAAGAUGUGACCAUAUCAUCACACCUUUCCCAUUGCUGAAAGCUAGGAUCAGUAGGAUCAGGUCUCACAACCUUCCCAUUAAUGAAUCCUGUCUUGCUCUUAACAGAUAAAGCCCUGAGAACUGCUCUUCUCCAGGAUCUGUAACCAGUUCCAUCAAAAACUGCAGGUAAUAGGGAUGAACUUGCAUUCUCAGAUGGAUGCAAGUAGAAAGGACUAGGGAUUUCUACCCUAACAGUGGAUGCAGAAGCAUUUGGAAUGGAAUCAUUUGAAGAAUCGACCAUUGUGAAUUGAAAAUUGGGAAGAAGAUCAAGUCGAGAACAACCAGAUCAAACAGCGUUCACAAACAAAAUUGACAGAUCGAAGAUCCAGUCGAGAUCAACCAGAUCAAAGAAAAAAUUCACAUAAGAGAAAACGAAGCUCACAGAUUGAAUUGGAAACAAAAAAAAACAGGAGCAAUUCCCUGUGCUUUGAUACCAUGAUGAAAUCAGCUACUGAUCAGUCAAGCUCCUCCAUUGAUGUAGCUUCAACUCACAUGAGAAAAGAUGAGAGAAGAAGAGAGAAGAGAAGAGAAGAAGAAUCUAGAAGAGCAACAUGAAAAUUAUCUCUCAUUGAAUGUGAAUUAAAGAAGUGAGUAUUACAAUGUAUCUGUAUAUAUACACAAUCACUAAGCAACUAAUAAUCAUUGGCAGAAAUUAACUAACUAACAAACUUGAUUCUAACUAACUCUACUGUACAUAACCGACUCUACUGUACAUAACUAACUAAUUAUACUUUAUAUUCUCAUCAAUAUCCCUUUUUUCAAAUUUCAUAGCUGAACUACUAGGUGUGCGAGUUCCUACCAGAACUAUUACCAACUAUUUAUCAAAACACACAUCAACUAUAUAUGAGUUGUUCCCUUUUACUAGUGGUGAAAAAUAGGUGGAUUUGGACGGGACUGAAAAUGGAUUGAGCAACAUGGUCGUAACUCACUUUAAUCUCUUAAAGCCAGAAAACUUUAAAGAGUUAAUUGAAAUAAACUUAAUGACUAUCCUACUUGAAGUAUCACCAUCGUUCAGGUAAGAAAAAGGAAGUAAAUCAAGGAAGACGAUGUCUUACAAAGCCUGAUGGAUAUGGACCUCGAUAGAACCUCCAUAGUUGUCUUGAAUGUCCUGUUGAAUCUGCUUUGCGGAAUUCCCAACAGAUUCUGGGCAGUUUCUUAUAUCAAUUAGAGCAAGUGUGGUUAUAUCUGCAAAAUCUUGAGGGAUUGAGUCCAAAAACCUGCAACUAUCAAGAAAUAGUCGUUCAAGGCACGGAAAGUGAUCACAACUAGCUCUCCAGUACUGAAUAUGUGAUCUUUUAAGUAACAAGAACUUCAAAAAAGGAAACCCUUCCUCAGCUACUUCCCACUCCCUGCCUCUGCAUACACCCUGUGUUAGUUCAAGAAGUUCAAGUUUGGGCAAUUUUCCGACAACAAUGCUUAAAUCCUUCCAUGACAAGAAGAAAUUUCCUGUAAAAGUUAAAUUCUUAAGGUUUCGUGGAAAAGCAUCUGGAGGAGGUAAGAUCAAAGAUGGAACAACUUCUACAACAAGUGGAUUCCUUGUCUGAAAACACAUUCUCCUCUCCAAAAAGUAAGCAUUAUUUUGAGGAGGAAGACAAAAUGCUAGUUCCUCGAGAUGAUCUAAGUAGCGAAAAUCAUAGAGGUCUUUGUGACUAUGGAAGUCUUGUGGGAUGCCACGUACUUGCAACUCCUUUAAAUUGGGAAAUAGUCUAAAGAAAGAUGCAGUACAAUAGCUAGGAUUCCAUCCAAACAGAGAAUGUAAAUUUUUCAUAACCAAACUUUUCUCUGUAAGCUCAUGAUAUCGCAAGUAAUUCCGAUCCAAAUGAAGGUGCCUCAACUGUGGCAUAGUCAAAAUUUCUGAUGGUAAUAUCAAAGCAUGUUUACGAAGAUUAAUAACGAGUGGAAGGUAAAGUACCAAACUUUGCAGAUAGCAUAGGUUUGAUAUGGAUGUAGGAAUGUCUACUCUUGAUGAGAGAACAUCUUCUUCGGAUCCUAGAUAUUGCUCAACGUUAGGAUAAAUACGCAAAGCUAGGUGUCUUAAGUGAAUCAAAUAAAGUAUUUCACGGGGAAAAGUUAGACAGAUAUUAUCAGCAAGAUCUAGAACUCUUACUAGCUUGAACGGCAAGUACUCCCUCAUGCAACAUCGGAAUCUACCAAAUAAGAUAACAGAAUGAGCUUCACUGUUAAGGCACCUAACAUACUCUUUCUUAUUAUGGAUGCUGAUUCGACCUCGACUCUUAGACAAACACUGCAUAGAUUUCACACAUGGAUUUUGAUCAUUCUUACUUCCGAGAACAUUCACAAAAUUCAUGUUACGAGCUUCCAUCAUACAGAGUUCACGAGUCGUAUCAUGAAUUCCACAACACUUAAUUUUUCCAUCAAAAGUAGUACUUUCUAUGGAAAUUAAACUUCUAUCAAUAAGAUCUUGUAGGUACUUUUCUGCCACUUCUUCUAUGCUUUUCAUCUCUUCUACCUUCAAAAAUCCCUCUGUUUCCCACAAUAUCAUAAGUUUAUUGACAAAAAUCAGUUUAUCCUCUGGGAAGAUUGCGAAAUAUAAAAAGCAUGGUUUUAGGUGGUGAGGCAAGUAAUGGUAACUCAUUGCCAACACCCUCAUGCAUUGGACACCAACAUCUGUGCUUACUGCUGAACUUACAUUUUCAGCAACACUUUGCCACUCACUCAAUGCUUUGUCAAUUUUAGUGAGAAGUCCCGCGAUCACAACAAUUGCUAGAGGCAAUCCUCCGCAUUUCAAUGCAAUUUGCUUUCCAAGUUGUUCAUAUUCAGGGGAGAAAGAGUCUUUCGUAAAGACUUUUUCAUACAAUAAACUCCAACUUUCGUCAAAAUUCAUGAGGCGCAUGUGAUAAGGAGGCUUACCUGAGCUAGCAUAUUCAGCCACUUCCACAUUCCGAGUAGUCAAGAGUAUUCGGCUUCCAUUAUGAAAGUCUGGGAAACAUAUUUGUAUAUCAUCCCAAGCUUUUGUAGUCCAUAUGUCAUCAAUGACUACCAAAUAUCUCUCACCUUUUAGAAGCUUUUGUAGUCGAUCUGCUAGUUGCCCGUCAUGUAGCUGAUCAUAAGGUUUAUCACUUAUACAAGAAAGAAGGUCUAGGAAAACAUUUCUCACACAAUACUCUUGUGAAACAGUAGCUUUAGCACGAAUGUCAAAACGAUACAUCAUGCAUGGAUCGUUGUAGAGUUUCGUAGCCAAAGUUGUCUUGCCAAUGCCUCCCAUACCUACAAUUGAUACAACUGCUAGUUCUCUUUCUCCUCUAGCAAGUUGAUCCAGCAUCAUCUUGAAUUCAUUUUCAUAGCCAACCAUUAUAUCCUCGGACCGCUCAACAGCACGUUCAGGUAUCUUGGAUAGACAAAAAUUUUGUGCUUUGAAAUCUUUAAAGUUGUUGUACCAGUCCCAUAUUGCCAACCACUGCAUCAUGAAGGAAUCAAUGCAUUCUACCUCUUGUUCCAAGGAACAACAGAGUUCCCAGAAAGCUUUGCUUCGUGUAAUUACAGUUUCUGCGGAAGAAACUUUUCUUGAUUUCGAAUCAACCAUGUCUUCUGCUUUGUAUGCUACCUCCGCGAUUUCAACUUCCAAGGUUGUUAACCCCUCAUGAUCUCCCGUUAUAUUGCAGGAUUUCUCCAUAAUAGCUCUCAAAGAUUCAAGCUUUUCAUAGAAUGGUUGCAAAUCACAUCCAGUAAGUUCCAUUGACUGGUGUAUGGUUCUCAUAAGGGAAGUAACAGCAGCAUAAGCCAUAUAUCCAAAAAAUAGGAAUCUCUCACACUCAGUAUGAAAAUGGACAAAUUAAUUGCCACAAGUUAUGUAAUCUUUCUUUUACUAACUAUUUCCAUCACAUUUCUAGCUAGGUCCACUAACAGGUAAAGUAGAAAGAUGUGAGGUCCCUAACCUUAUCAUCAUGUAGACAAAAGAAGAGACCAAAGUUUUUAAAAAAAAGACAGGAAAAAGUAGAAAAAUUUGUGAUCAUUCAUUAUUAGACCCUACACUAAUCUCUUUAGAAAAAUAAACUAAAAUUUUAGUUUAAAUAAAGGAGUUCAAGCUGUAUAUUGAUAACGCCCAAUUCAAAUUCAAGUGUAGUACGGUCUAGCAAUAAUAAACUCAACAAAUGUUGGGGUCGAGGAGUAUGCUUGUGUCAAGGUGACAGAGAAUGCGAAUUUGCGAAUUUCCUAAGCUUAUCUACAAAUAAAAGGUCUUUCUUUUAGCUAGGUCCAUAAUCCAUGUAGUGCUCUCUACUCUCUAGUCUCUAUCAACCAACUCAAGUUUAAGGGUGUGUUUGGUAUGGAGGAAACAUUUUCUCUAGAAUAGGGAGAGUUUUGUGCAUAAACAAAGAAGAAUAUCUCAGUAUAACAGUGAAUGUGUAUUUUUUUUAUGAUUUGCUUCAUUUGAGUAUGACUUUUGUAAGAAAAUUCUGGUAAAAGUUUAAAAAAUGAUCUUGUGGAAUAAGCACAGUGAAUUCCUUAAUAUUCGAGUAGAAAAAGCCAGGGAGGAUAACAUUGCUAUUUGUACACUUAUCGUGACACGAGUAGUCUCUUAAAUAUUACACCUUUCUACUGGUGUUGCUGGUGCCACUGAAUUUAGCCUUCCGUCUUCCUUUGCGAGGUAGAUUGAGGACUCCCAAGAAAGGAAACACAAGGUACUGGAGUCUGUUCCGGCCUCUACAGUAUGUAUGUACAUAAAAUUUGGAGUAACUAAAAAACCACUGACAAAUGGCUAUACGAAAGAUCAUAUACAAUUUAAUUACAAGCCAUUUGCAAUCAUCCUGCCCCUUUAUGCAGAAUCUUUUCAAAGAAAAUGAAAACAAACACUCACACAUUUGGCUUCUGAUUGACAUUUAUUUCAGAGAACUGGCUAGUCCUCAGAACACCUUAACUACUCGCUGCAGAAAAAAAAAGACGCAAAAAAUGGAAAAUAAUAUGUUAGAUGUCCCAUAAUUAAGGAACAGGAGAACAUUAUAGCAAGAAUGAGCAUGCAGGUAUAAGAACUUACACAUUAUUGCGGCAAGAAGCAACUUCUUUCUCAAAGUCAAUAUCAUCAUCUUCAUCUAUUGUUACACUACAUCGAAAAUGCUUGCUACAAAAGAUGAAAAAUGAAAUGUUACACUUCCCAAAAUCAAGAAUGAGCAUGCAAGUAUAACAACUUACACAAUAUUGGAAGGAUUCGAAUCAAUCACAAUGACAGCAUCAAGAACUUUUGUUGAAUUGGUGUAAUUUGACUUACUAAAGCUAUUAUCCAGAUUAUUAUCGAGUUUACUAUAAUGAUGAGUUAAAUAUUGUUGUAAAUCAAGGAAGAAGAUGUACUUACUAAAGAUUACGAGUAUGGACCUCGAUAGAGCUUCCAUAGUUGUCUUGAAUGUCCUGUUGAAUUUGCUUGGCGGAAUUCCCAACAGAUUGUUGACAGUAACUUAUAUCAAUAAGAGCUAGUGUGGUUAUAUCUGCAAAAUCUCGAGGGAUUGAAUCCAAAUAAUAGCAACUUCUAAGAAAAAGUCGUUCAAGGUACGGAAAGUGAUCACUACUAGCUCUCCAGUACCGAAUGCAUACUUCAUGCAGAAACAAGAACUUCAAGUGAGGAAACCCUUCCUCAACUACUUCCCACUCCUCGCCUAUGAAGGAUUUCCAUGAUAGUUUAAGGACCUCGAGUUUGGGUAAUUUACCAACAAUGCUCAAAUCCUUCCAUGCCAAAAAGAAUUCUCCGCUAAAAGUUAAACUCUUAAGGUUUUGUGGAAAAGCAUCCGGAGGAGGUAAGCGUAAAGUUGAAACAUCAGUUGGAGGUGCAGUUGCCCUGAAAGGUAAGAGUAAACUUGUAUAAAGUUGAACAACUAGCCACAUGAGUCCUACAUGACACAAUACACAUAAGACACCAACUAUUUCCAUCACAUUUCCAGCUAGGUCCACUAACAGGAUAAAGUAGAAAGAUGUGAGGUCACUAACCUUAUCAUCAUGUAGACAAAAGAAGAGACCAAAGUUAAAAAAAAAAAAGACAGGAAAAAGUAGAAAAAUUUGUGAUCAUACAUUAUUAGACCCUACACUAAUCUCUUUAGAAAAAUAAGUUUCAAUAAAGGAGUUCAAGCUGUAUAUUGAUAACGUCCAAUUCAAAUUCAAGUGUAGUACGGUCUAGCAAUAAUAAACUCAACAAAAGUUGGGGUCGAGGAGUACACUUGUGUCAAGGUGACAGAGAGUGUUCUGGCCUAUACAGUAUGUAUGUAUGUACAUAAAAUUUGGAGUAUCUAAAGAACCACUGACAAAUGGCUAUACGAAAGAUCAUAUACAAUUAAAUUACAAGCCAUUUGCAAUCAUCCUGCCACCUUAUGCAGAAAAAAUGAAAAUUCUGAUUUGACAUUUAUUUCAGAGAACUGGCUAGUCCUCAGAACACCUUAACUACUCGCUGCAGAGAAAAAAAAAAGACACAAAAAAUGGAAAAUAAUAUGUUAGAUGUCCCAUAAUUAAGGAACAAGAGAACAUUAUAGCAAGAAUGAGCAUGCAGGUAUAAGAACUUACACAUUAUUGCGGCAAGAAGCAACUUCUUUCUCAAAGUCAUCUUCAUCUGUUGUUAUAUCGAAAAUGCUUUCUACAAAAGAUGAAAAAUGAAAUGUUACACUUCCCAAAAUCAAGAAUGAACAUGCAAGUAUAACAAGUUACACAAUAUUGGAAGGAUUCAAAUCAAACACAAUGACAGCAUCAAGAACUUUUGUUGAAUUGGUGCAAUUGGACUUACUAAAGCUAUUAUCCAGAUUAUUAUCGAGUUUACUAUGAUGAUGAGUUAAAUAUUGUUGUAAAUCAAGGAAGAAGAUGUCUUACAAAAGAUGACGAGUAUGGACCUCGAUAGAGCUUCCAUAGUUGUCUUGAAUGUCCUGUUGAAUUUGCUUGGCGGAUUUCCCAACAGAUUGUCGACAGCUACUUAUAUCAAUAAGAGCUAGUGUGGUUAUAUCUGCAAAAUCUGGAGGGAUUGAAUCCAAAUCAUAGCAAUUUCUAAGAAAAAGUCGUUCAAGGUACGGAAAGUGAUCACUACUAGCUCUCCAGUACCGAAUGUAUAUGUUAUCCAGAAACAAGAACUUCAAGUGAGGAAACCCUUCCUCAACUACUUCCCACUCCUCGCCUAUGACGGCAUUGUCUGAUAGUUUAAGGACCUCGAGUUCGGGUAAUUUACCAACAAUGCUCAAAUCCUUCGAUGCCAAAAAGAAUUCUCCGCUAAAAGUUAAACUCUUAAGGUUUUGUGGAAAAGCAUCCGGAGGAGGUAAGAGUAAAGUUGGAACAUCAGCUGGAGGUGCAGCUUUCCCGAAUUGUGUCUUUUUGUACAAUAAUUUCGUCUGAAACCUCAGAGGAUCUUGCGGAGUAGAACCUGAAGGUGCAGUGCUUUCUAGAACGCAAGCAGCACCUGGAUAAUAAACACGAAAUGCCAAUUUCUCGAGCUGAUAUAAGUAGCGAAAAUCAUACAGGUCCUUGUGAUUGCGAAAGUCCUCUUGGACGCCAAAUACUUUCAACUUCUUUAAAUUGGGAAAUAGUCUAAAAAAAGACCCUGUACAAUUCCGAGGAUUCAAUUGAUUGAGACAUUGCAAACUUUUCAAAACCAAUCUGUUCUCUGUAGGCUCAUGACUCCGCAAGUAAUUCCAGCCCAUACGCAGCUUCCUCAAUUGUGGCAUCGUCAAAAUUUCCGAUGGUAAUAUGAAAGGAUAACUAUCGGUAAAUGGAAGGUAAAGUUUAAAAGUUUGCAGAUAGCAUAGGCAUGAUAUCGAUAGAGGAAUGUCUAUUAUUGAUGAGGGAACAGCUUCUAUCGAUCCUCGAUACUGCAGUAAGCAAGGAUUAAAACACAAAGAUAGGUAUCUCAAAUGAAUUAGAGAAAGUACUCCACUGGGAAAAAUUGGGCAUGGAGUCCAACCAAGAUCUAGUACUCUUACUAGCUUGAAAGACAAUUCCAGUGUGAUGCAAUUGAAUCCACGCAACAUGAUAAUAGAAUGAGCCUCACUGUUACGACACCAAGCCAAUUCUUCCUCCUUAUAGAUACUGAUCCGACUUCGCUUCUUAAAGGAACACUGCAUGGAUUGUGCACAUGAAUUUUGAUCACUCUUUCCUCUGAUAACAUUCACAAAAUUCAUGUUUCGAGCUUCCCUC
rnacentral:lncRNA from 1 species